UACGUAGGUCUCAAGCGUUGUUCGGAUUCAUUGGGCGUAAAGGGUGCGUAGGCGGCGCGGUAAGUCGGGUGUGAAAUCUUGGAGCUUAACUCCGAAACUGCAUUCGAUACUGCCGUGCUUGAGGACUGGAGAGGAGACUGGAAUUUACGGUGUAGCGGUGAAAUGCGUAGAUAUCGUAAGGAAGACCAGUGGCGAAGGCGGGUCUCUGGACAGUUCCUGACGCUGAGGCACGAAGGUCAGGGGAGCAAACGGG
rnacentral:rRNA from 1 species